ensembl:lncRNA
CAGCAUUUUUGGAUUACAAACAUUCAGGGGAAAAAGGUGUCAGGGGAACCCCCACAGGAAGUCACGGCGCUUCACAACAGGAAGUCACGGCGCUUCCCAACAGGAAGUCACUGCGCUUCCCAACAGGAAGUCACUGCGCUUCUCAACAGGAAGUCACUGCGCUUCUCAACAGGAAGUCACUGCGCUUCUCAACAGGAAGUCACUGCGCUUCUCAACAGGAAGUCACUGCGCUUCUCAACAGGAAGUCACUGCAGCUUUUUCUGGUUACGUGUUAACUGCCAAAAUCAGGGGUUUUAAGUUUAUACAAAGAACUGAGGAAAACAUGCUCUCAAGGGAAGACGGUCUAAUAAAUCAUAUUCAUUAGACCGUACUGUAUCAUAUAGGUUAGUCUGAUAUACAUUAGACCAUACUAUAUCAUAUAGAUUAGUCUAUAUCAUAUAGGUUAGUCUGAUAUACAUUAGACCAUACUAUAUCAUAUAGGUUAGUCUAUAUCAUAUAGGUUAGUCUGAUAUACAUUAGACCAUACUAUAUCAUAUAGGUUAGUCUAUAUCAUAUAGGUUAGUCUGAUAUACAUUAGACCAUACUAUAUCAUAUAGAUUAGUCUAUAUCAUAUAGGUUAGUCUGAUAUACAUUAGACCAUACUAUCAUAUAGGUUAGUCUAUAUCAUAUAGGUAAGUCUGAUAUACAUUAGACCAUACUAUAUCAUAUAGGUUAGUCUAUAUCAUAUAGGUUAGUCUGAUAUACAUUAGACCAUACUAUAUCAUAUAGGUUAGUCUAUAUCAUAUAGGUUAGUCUGAUAUACAUUAGACCAUACUAUCAUAUAGGUUAGUCUAAUAUAAAUUAGACGAAACUAUAUCAGAUAUAUCUAUAUUUAUAUCUAUAUAUAUCAUAUAAUAAUGUGUGUGUAUAUAUGUAUGUAUACAUAUGUUAACUUAUAUGUAUACAUUUGUGUAUGUAUAUACACACACAUGUGUAUACAUAUGUGUGUAUGUGUACAUAUGUAAUUAUUGUGUAUAUAUAUAUAUAUAUGUAUAUAACUGUGUAUGUAUCCCUCCGGUGGUCCAGGCUCCUCCUCUGACCUCUGACCUUGACCUGGUUUUGUCUACUUGAGACUUUUAAACUAAACGGCCUUGUGUGUGUUUUUACUUUUCUAUGUUUGAGUGGUUUGUAAAUCCCUAGUGGAGGAACCGGGGUUCCUCUACCUGGUCCCGGGGGGGGCCCUGGGGGGGGCUCCACACCACACCACACCAGCCCCGUGUGGACACGUAGCCACGAUGGACUGUUGCUCAAUUAUGCUCUCAUCCGCAACACCAGGCUUUCCCACACCUGCCAAAUAAAGGGCCGGCCAGGCUCGGGGGGCCGGACCCUGGUUCCGGACCCCGAGGGUGCUGACCCCUGCCCCACCAGUCGCCCCCGACGACCACAGAGCUGUGGGAGGGGGGGGAGGGGCCCAGCACGGUCUUCGGGGACAAGCUCCGCCCUCACAGGAAGUACAGACCCAUGUGUCGGAGGUUGGGUGAUGCAGCGCCGUCGUAUUCAGGGUCAGACUCCUCCCCCCGCCGCCGCCCAGAGCUGGUUAGACCUUUAUACCGGGUCGGGGGGCUCCGGGACCAGGACCAAGGGCUUCAGGGACCAGGACCCGGGGCCCCAGGGUCCAGGACUCUGACCGGUCUGAGGGGGGACCCGGGCCGGGCCUCAGGGCGGACCUCCACCUGCGCUUCACUUCAAACGUCGGUGCCAAGGAGCUCAGGGCCUCUGAGCCUCAGGGCCUCUGAGCCUCAGGGCCUCUGCUCAGGAGCCGAACCUUCAACUUAUUUAUUACGGUUGGACUCUUUAUCGAUUUAUUUCUUUUGUUUUGUCUAAGUGAAGGAAUAAAGAUUUUUAAACCAAG